GGCUCUGUAGUGUAGCGGUUAUCACUCUAAGAUUCUGACAUAUCACAUUCUUGAAACCCAGGUUCGAUUCCUGGCAGUGCCU